AGGUUGCAGUUAAAGCUGGGCACGAGGGAGACCCCCCAAUUGAGAAGCCAGGGUAAGAUCCUCAUUUGGGACAAUAGAUGAAAAGCUGGAUGUUGCAUCUUUGUGUGAUAAGGAGGAUACCUGCCUGAGGAUGUGUAGCAGACCACUGAGAACCAGAUCUGGAGGUAAAUGGUCAAGCUAUAAAUAGAGAUUUGAGGGAUUUUGGGCAGAGUGUGAGUUGAAGAAAUGGCAGUGGAUGAAUUCACCAAGGGAAAGCAUAUAAAGAGAGGAUUUAAAAAAUCUGAGGGAAUACCUACAUUCAGGAAACAGAUGGGCGAUGAUGAGUGAGCAGAACUUUACAGUUUCUUCGGAGCACUAAGAAGAGAAGUAAGGUAGUCAUUAGGGUGCCAUUCUAGCAGAGGGUGGUCAGCAGGGUUGAAUAUUGCAGGGGAAGACGGAGACUGAAGACCUUCCCUGGAAAUUUUAGUGAUCUUUAAAAACACAAUUCUGUUGAACAGU